AUAUCCUGUCCUCAACCGUUAAUCCGAUAGUUGCCAUUGCCAGCUCAUUUUUCGACUAGAACUUGUGUGGUUUACACCCAAAAGCCUACCUUAAUUGAAUUACGUUGGCAUUUUUUUACAAGCUCGGAGCAGGAAGCACAUAGACGGACGGACAUCGAAGGCGAAGCGUAAAUACAAAAAAAAACGGAUUGAGGAAAGUAAAAACUCAGGAGAUAAAAUUAAUCGUUUUUAUCUUUACUUAGCAUGGUCGUUCUGACAAAUUAACGAAAAAAAUUUUAAUCAAAAUUUUCCUGACGCUCUUCUUUUGUUUACUAUAGAUGCAAGAUUUAUUCGCAAUUGAGGGGAAAACCAGAGUUAGAGAAUGAGGUAUAAAAUAAAACCCAGCGAUACGCCACUGGAAUAUUAUUGAGAACUUGACCUUUAUCGGUACCAGAGCCACAGCCGGAGUUUUAGCGACGUCUGUACCCUAGACAAGCUGACACAGAUAUGGACGGAAAUGAUGUCGUACCAUUCAUUAAAAUUGAACCAAAACAAGAAGAAAUUCAUUCCGAUAUUGAAGGAAACAUUUCAGUAAGUAAGGAAGCCUUGGUUACAAUAAAGGACGAAAUUAUAAAGGAUGAAAUUACCAAUACUGCACAAUGUUCCAAAUCGCUCGAUAAUGAAGAAGUACAACAAACUGAUUGUGGAUGGAUUACUAAAACUGAAAUUUCCAAGGAUUUUGAAUGUGACUUCGGUCAACACACAACAAAUAAAGGAUUUAACUGUGCCCAUUGUGAUUAUGGAACAAAUAAUAAAUCCUACUUUAAACGAC